rnacentral:lncRNA from 1 species
UACGCCACCGCGGUUUAAUCUCGUCAGACCAAAAACAGUAUAAAUACGGAUUCAGGGUCUCUGUUCAGGCAUAACACAUCUUUUUGUGCAAUUUUAUUCUUUGGUGAGUACACACAUCGUUAUAAUAUACUUACGAGAACGAAUACAAUUUAUUUUCUAUUCGGUUGAAUUUAUUAUUGUUUUUUUUUUUUUAUUCCUGUUUGUAGUCUUCACUUCGUUUCACGAAAACAAAACCAAAAAUCAAAAAUGGGCGCUGAAAAGGUAUCCAUGAACAUCGUUGUCGUCGGACAAAUCCAAUCUGCCAAAGCCAUCAAAACCGUCGCCAAGGCCACCCCAGCCACCAGCCAAUUGAUGGUAAGUCUAUUCAUCAUUACUGUUUUAAUAUCCGUACUUAUCAAUUAUUACCAAUACUCGUUAAAUUGCUGUCUUAUUUUUAUAAAGCGAUGAUAAUUAUAUAUGUUAAAACCUAUUUGUUUUUUCGAGAAAAAUUUAAAAAAAAUUUACCAAAAGAGAAAAACCGUUUAACGUUUGUUAUAUAUAUUUUUCAAAUAUGGAUUAAAGUGGUUGUUUUUCUCCUGAAAUUACAUUUUAGUGGGACUGAUAUUUUUUUCUAAAAGUAUUUUGAUUAAGCAAUUGGUGUUUUUAAAAAAAUUCGAUACAAUAACUAAUUAUAUAAAAUACUCAAGGUUUAACAAUUUUUUAGUAUAAAUUAGAUAAUUAAUCGAAUAUAAAUUAUCAUAGUGUGUGUAUUUCAAUUUGUUUAACUUUUAUUUAUUUAAUUUUUUUUGUAUCACAAAAUAUUUUAUAUAACUCACAAUAAUUAUCAAUUUAUAAAUAUCAUACCUACCUAACACCUUGUUGUCUCAUAUAAUAUAUUAUUUUGUAAUGUAUUGAUAAUCGAACAUAAUUGUCAAAUUUAUCAGGAUAAGAAUAAUUUAUCGAAUUUUAUAUAAUAUUUCAACGUUAUGAAUUUUUCUUUUUCUUUUCCUUUACAUAAUAAUUUCGGUAGAUACUAAAUGCUUAUAUAUUAUUUAACAAUUUAUGAAUAUUGUUUCUACCUGACCUACACCUAGUUGUGUCAUAUAAUAUAUUAAUUUGUUUGUUUUUUGUUUCAGUCCUGUUAAACUCAUGUAGUCCAUACAUUGCAAACUCAAAAACGCCAUAGUCCAAACAAUGCGUAUUAUGUAUGUAAUUAAUAAUUAAUAAUAUGUAUAAUAUGUAUUGACACCUCAAAAUAAACCAGUCUAAUCCGUUA